rnacentral:rRNA from 1 species
UACGUAGGGGGCAAGCGUUGUCCGGAUUUAUUGGGCGUAAAGAGCGUGUAGGCGGCUAGGUAGGUCCGUUGUGAAAACUCGAGGCUCAACCUCGAGACGUCGAUGGAAACCAUCUAGCUAGAGUCCGGAAGAGGAGAGUGGAAUUCCUGGUGUAGCGGUGAAAUGCGUAGAGAUCUGGAAGAACAUCGGUGGCGAAGGCGCUCUGCUGGACCAUAACUGACACUCAGGGACGAAAGCGUAGGGGAGCGAAUGGG